CUUAAUUUGUACUUUAAAAAAAGAUAUAUACCAAAUUUUACUGAAUUUAUGCACAGAUGUUCUUUUGUACGCAUUUAUUUCAUACGUUAACAUUAUCAGUUAGGUUUAUGCAACUCUGAAGUUUAUCGACGUUAACAUCUUUAUUUCAUUAGCAAUAAGAAAUUAUCAACCAGAAUAAAAUAUAUUUUAUUUGGUUAUGUAAUAUGUUACUUUUUAUACAAUUUAUAAGAAAAAAGACUUUUUGAAAAUAAUUCUUUAAAAAACUAUGUACAUUUAUUUGCAGAAUUAAUAUGAAAUGUAAGGAAUUAAAAAUAAUGUCUGUAAGCUACAUGUAACUAUUGUGUUUUAAGUUUUUGUAGACCUUGUUUGUGUUUAUAAAUAAAAGAUAAAAAC
rnacentral:sRNA from 1 species